AUACGGAGGAUCCGAGCGUUAUCCGGAUUUAUUGGGUUUAAAGGGUGCGCAGGCGGCCAUUUAAGUCAGCGGUUAAAUCGUGGGGCUCAACCCCAUUCUGCCGUUGAUACUGGGUGGCUUGAUUGCGGUCGAGGUUGGCGGAAUUCGUUGUGUAGCGGUGAAAUGCAUAGAUAUGACGAAGAACACCGAUUGCGUAGGCAGCUGACCAGACCGCAAAUGACGCUCAUGCACGAAAGUGCGGGGAUCGAACAGGAUUAGAUACCCUGGUAGUCCGCACAGUAAACGAUGAAUACUUGUUUUCGGCGAUAUAGUGUCGGAGGCAAAGCGAAAGCGAUAAGUAUUCCACCUGGGGAGUACGCCGGCAACGGUGAAACUCAAAUGAAUUGACGGG
rnacentral:rRNA from 1 species